rnacentral:misc_RNA from 1 species
AACGCACCUUGCGCUCCUUGGUAUUCCGAGGAGCAUGCCUGUUUGAGUGUCAUUAAAUUCUCAACCUUCCAACUUUUAUUAGCUUGGAUAGGCUUGGAUGUGGGGGUUGCAGGCUUCAUCAAUGAGGUCAGCUCUUCUUAAAUGCAUUAGCGGAACUUUUGUGGACCGUCUAUUGGUGUGAUAAUUAUCUACGCCGUGGAUGAGAAACAGCUUUAUCAAGUUCAGCUUCUAACCGUCCAUUGACUUGGACAAUUUUGACAAUUUGACCUCAAAUCAGGUAGGACUACCCGCUGAACUUAA